UUUUGUAAAAAAAGUAGGGAACUUCAUUUUUGAUUUAUGAUUGAAAACAAUUGUGAAAUAUAUCUGCGUCAAUCAAUGUUGAUAUGAUAAUAAUGAAUGUUUUGAGAGUGCAUCACCACUUGCACUUCC